CUGCCGGUCGUGCCCGAACAACUGCGCUGUGCUAGCUACAAGUUUCUGGGCAGGCAGGCCCCUCACAGUCGUGCCCAGAGGUUCUGUCCUGUGGCUGGGGUCUCCAAGUCUGGGGCCGGUGGCCCCUGCAUCGGCGGGGUAUCGGUGGAGAGCCGGGGAAACGGCGCCUCCCACCCCCACUCGCGAGCACCGACUCAGACUGAGUGGGAGGGUGAGCGAGAGCGGGAAGAAGCACGUAUGCAAUAUGCCGGUUUCUUAAUUCUCAAAACGGGCUACAGAAGGGCAGUCCUGAAUUGGCAACAAGCUUCUGAGCCGCGAGAUGACGGUGCCACUGACCGGCCUUCCUUUCGAUUGGAAGCCUGCGUUUCGACGCCCCUUACUAAAACGCUCGGCCUCCGGGGAGGCUUUAAGCCUCGAGGGCAACGCCUGAGCCGGGAUGACGCAGCUGCGAGGGGCAGGCCGGGAACGGGUUCGGGAAGCGCCAGGAAGGACGACCUGCGGCACGCUGGGAGGCUGCACUAACGCACCGAGGCCCCCACCCUCCCUCCGUCUCCUGAAAUCCUCACUGCCACCCGGCAGAUUAGAGGGCACGUGAGAAGACAUGUAGUGUGGAAUUCUAGUAAGAAGAGUCUUGAUGGGAUUGAUAGAGACAACUCCUUAAUGAUGUUUGACCCACCUUUGAGACAAAUGGAAAGACUGGAGAUAAAUGCUGCCUGAGAGAAGAGCAUGACCAUACACAGGGCAACUCUGCAGCUGAUGGACUCACAGGGGGCUGGAGGCUGUCUGCAGACCAUUCUCCCCCUCGACUGAGGGGCAGGUUUUCCUUGAAGAGGGAUCUUGGUGACUCAUCUCCACGUUCAUCAAAAUGAUCAGAAGGCUGAAUCAACAGCUCACUUGGAAUGUGAUUUAAACAUGUGUGCGGUGUACAGAUAGGACCAUCAGCCAGGAGACUCCAUGCUCUUGAACCAAGGGAUGUUUCUGUUGACAUGCAGGGGCUAAAACACAAACUACAAGCUUUGCUGAGCCCACCUUUUUCUCUCUCCAUAAGUAUGAAGAUGAGUAUCAGAAACACCAAAAAGGAGACUGUGACGCUGAUGGAAAAGCUGCUACCUGAUAUUGCUGAGUGUUGUC